GUAGUUCAGUUGGUUAGAAUGCCAGCCUGUCACGCUGGAGGUCGAGGGUUCGAUUCCCUUC
rnacentral:tRNA from 1 species